rnacentral:rRNA from 1 species
CUUGGCGACCAUAGCGUUGUGGACCCACCUGAUUCCAUGCCGAACUCAGAAGUGAAACGCAACAGCGCCGAUGGUAGUGUGGGGUCUCCCCAUGUGAGAGUAGGACAUCGCCAGGC